UGGAGACUGGGCUUUGGGAGGGAGAAAGAGGGACCUAGCGCGGGCCGCGCAGGCGCACGGUGGGCAGCUGCAAUGGCGCUGUCGUGUACCCUUAACAGGUAUCUGCUCCUCAUGGCGCAGGAGCAUCUGGAGUUCCGCCUGCCGGAAAUAAAGUCUUUGCUUUUGCUUUUUGGAGGUCAGUUUGCCAGCAGUCAAGAAACUUAUGGAAAGUCACCAUUUUGGAUUCUUAGCAUUCCCUCUGAAGAUAUUGCAAGAAAUUUGAUGAAACGGACAGUGUGUGCCAAGUUCCAUUUCUACAUUCGGACUCUACAUAUAAAAUAAAGAUUCACACUUUUAAUAAGACAUUGACACAAGAAGAGAAAAUCAAGCGAAUAGAUGCACUUGAAUUUCUGCCAUUUGAAGGAAAAGUGAAUUUAAAGAAACCGCAACAUGUAUUUUCUGUUUUGGAGGAUUAUGGUUUAGACCCAAACUGCAUCCCUGAGAAUCCACAUAAUAUUUAUUUUGGUAGAUGGAUUGCAGAUGGACAGAGAGAGCUUAUUGAGUCAUACAGUGUCAAAAAGAGACACUUUAUUGGAAAUACAAGUAUGGAUGCUGGUUUGUCAUUCAUUAUGGCUAACCAUGGAAAAGUGAAAGAAAAUGAUAUUGUCUUUGAUCCAUUUGUUGGAACAGGUGGCCUGCUGAUAGCAUGUGCUCAUUUUGGUGCAUAUGUGUAUGGGACAGACAUAGACUACAACACAGUUCAUGGCUUGGGUGAGUAG
rnacentral:lncRNA from 1 species